AUUAUAAUUCGUGAAAUUAGAGUCAGUGAGUCCGCCGAUUGUUACUUAAUCGCGCGCGUUGAUAGUCUUUUAUUUUUCUUUUUUUUGUAUUUUCUUUUGUUCAAUAUUCGCUUUCGUUGUUAGAGUCAAUUCGCUAUUGUGUUCAAGAGGAUAAGGCUUCUCCUGGAGAUCAAGAUUACGCAGCUUCACAGCAUCAACUUUUGCAUUUUUGGGGAAAAAUCCAACAGUGGCUCUAAAGUCAAGAAUAUCUUCUACAGUCUCCCCUAAUCCUGCAAGAAUCUUAUGAUGCUUCAAAAGCUAAAAAUAAAUUUUUCACGCUGUUCCACCAUGCGAUUUUUAAUGGUAUCUACUUGAUGAGGGUCUUCACGAUAACUUUCCCUGUUCCAGUGCAGCAUCGGCGAUAAUGUUUUUCACAUCUGUCCCGUGAGUCGCAUGAAUUUAUGUUCCUCCGGUCACUUAACCAUGUCGUAGGACGAAAGGUCCGAGUCGGCACGAGCGACUGGUUGUAUACGUAGAAUUUUUGAUGAGCAUAGUGACCGCGGGUAUUUUUUAUACCCGUGAGUAGUAACACUUUU